GCUGGGUGUGGUGGUGCAUGCCUGUAAUCCCAGCUACUCGGGAGGCUGAGGCAGGAGAAUCGCUUGAACCUGGGAGGUGGAGGUUGCAGUGAGCUGAGAUUGUGCCACUGCACUGCAGCCUGGGUGACAGAGCGAGACUCUGUCUCAA
ensembl:misc_RNA Metazoa_SRP Metazoan signal recognition particle RNA